CUUCUUCACAUUGUUUUGUGCAUCUUGGUUUUUCGUUUCUCCCUGGCCUGAUUUCAUUUGGAGAUUCAGCCUGGAACCUGCAGAGUCUGUGCCAUGGAUACCGAGGGGAGGUUUCACAGGACCGUGUCUAUUCUGCCCGAGUUACCAAAGAUUGGAGAGGAGGCGUCAGGCUUUGGCAGUGAUACCCGAGUCUGCAUAGCUAAGUCCUGCCUGCAACCUCGAGAUCUGACUGACUCCCCUCAUCUGCUGUUCCCUUCCUCCUGGCCCUUCGGUCUUCUCUUGCCAGGUUUGGGGGAUCUAGACCCCCUGGCUGAUUGGACGAGGUCCACCCAUAAUGCUGACGGUCACCGCCUUUAAGUAAAGUCAACUCAUCGUAGAUGCUAAUCCCACAUACGAAAUACUACCACAGUAACAACUAGGCCAGUGUG